GGGGAAGCCCGGCCGAUGUCUGAUUAGCUAGUUGGUAGGUAAUGGCUUACCAAGGCAACGAUCAGUAGUUGGUCUGAGAGGACGGCCAGCCACACUGGGACUGAGACACGGCCCAGACUCCUACGGGAGGCAGCAGUGGGGAAUUUUGGACAAUGGGCGCAAGCCUGAUCCAGCAAUGCCGCGUGAGUGAAGAAGGCCUUCGGGUUGUAAAGCUCUUUCAGUUGAGAAGAAAAAGUCGUGACUAAUAAUCAUGAUUCAUGACGGUAUCAACAGAAGAAGCACCGGCUAACUACGUGCCAGCAGCCGCGGUAAUACGUAGGGCGCAAGCGUUAAUCGGAAUUACUGGGCGUAAAGGGUGCGCAGGCGGUUCUGUAAGUCAGAUGUGAAAUCCCCGGGCUUAACCUGGGAACUGCGUUUGAAACUACAAAGCUAGAAG
rnacentral:rRNA from 1 species